AUAAAGGCUUUUCUUAAAACCAUCCCACUUCUUAAAAGAAAUUCCAU
rfam:Corvus brachyrhynchos isolate BGI_N302 unplaced genomic scaffold scaffold283, whole genome shotgun sequence.